UACCGAGGCUCAGAGUUUGGACAGCUGCGCCGGCGGGCAGGGUGGAACGAACAGGAGACCACCGCGGGGGACCCUCCUCGCGCCGGCUCUACCACGCGGCCCGCCUGGCCGAGUCAGCGAGUCAGCUGCCAGCUCGGGGGUCGCGCGGGCGGCACGGCUCAACAACAUCCUCGGCGACACGCUGGUGCAUCUCGAGCGAGAAGCCUCGGCCGGCCCCACCACUCUUCGAUCGUUUUUUUCUGGCAUUGGUGGAGGACUACGGUUAAAUUUAAAGUGCCGGAAUAUUGCAACUGAUAUGAGUUGUGUUGUAUCUUCAGUAAUAUAUCAGAGCCGCGGCAUGUCAAGAAAGUGGAAUGUAAUGUGCGAUGACAAUUUAGGUAUACUGAAACCAGAGGAAAGUUAAACGCACCUCCUCCUGCUAUGAGUUGUUUCUGAAUUUUGAAACCAAGUACUUCUGGGAUACUUAAACUAUCAAGUCGAAAUUAGGGUAAACGAAGAAUGCUCUGACUUAUAUUAUUACCCUUACAACUGAAAUUGCUUCAUUGGGAAAAUUUUGUUGCAUCGAAUUAAUUUACAAACAAAAGUGCUCUAAUUAAACAAAUAACGAUCAGGUUAAAAGAUAACAAAGUGUUGCGCGCGACUAUUUCGACUUCUAUAAAAAGCCUACGCUUCAUGUACAAAAUUCACUUUGCAUGGGCAUAUUUACCGAGAUAGAUACACAAUAUACACUCGCAUUGCGUUUGCGCGUCUAAAAUAAAGGGCCUGGAGAGAGGGUGGGUCACAGAGCGGGUGAUAGAGACGGAGACUGAGAGAGUGUGUGCGAGAAAGAGAGCCGGGGAAGGGGGAGACAGCCCUGAGCAGAGGGAGGGGAGCAGUGGGAGGCACUGCAUCGCUCUCUAAUGGCAUGAUAUACUGCGAGGGCGCGCGGCCCGCGGCGGACCUCGUAUUCCUCACUUCCCCUAAAGCGUGCCCGCCCCGGCUCUUGCCGCCCUCUCAGGCCCCACCACCCUGCACAAACCCGCACAGGAAACCGCGUGGCCCCGCCACAACCAGCCCCCGAUGGCCCUUCAAAUCGUACAGGCAUAAAUCUUAUUUUGUUUUGCCGGUCCCCUUAUACACGUCUAAAAUAUGUGUACGGUAAAACAAAUUACCACGAGAUAAAAAGAAAACGCAUGUCUAACACUUUCAUAUUAACAUGCUUCGAUGUACGCAUUUUGAAAUAAAAUACGAGCAGGCAAAUUUUAA